rnacentral:rRNA from 1 species
ACACUCCUGCGGGAGGCAGCAGUGGGGAAUUUUGGACAAUGGGCGAAAGCCUGAUCCAGCAAUGCCGCGUGAGUGAAGAAGGCCUUCGGGUUGUAAAGCUCUUUUGUCAGGGAAGAAACGGUGAAAGCUAAUAUCUUUUGCUAAUGACGGUACCUGAAGAAUAAGCACCGGCUAACUACGUGCCAGCAGCCGCGGUAAUACGUAGGGUGCAAGCGUUAAUCGGAAUUACUGGGCGUAAAGCGUGCGCAGGCGGUUUUGUAAGUCUGAUGUGAAAUCCCCGGGCUCAACCUGGGAAUUGCAUUGGAGACUGCAAGGCUAGAAUCUGGCAGAGGGGGGUAGAAUUCCACGUGUAGCAGUGAAAUGCGUAGAUAUGUGGAGGAACACCGAUGGCGAAGGCAGCCCCCUGGGUCAAGAUUGACGCUCAUGCACGAAAGCGUGGGGAGCAAACAGGAUUAGAAACCCUAGUAGUCCCAUGA